AGGCUCACCUCUGUGGAACCAUCCUGCUGCUCUCCCCAGGGCUCCGGGGAUGUGUGUGUUUUCUUGCAGGAGCAUACUUCUUUGAUUAAAGGAAGAGAGAGAGUACUGGGCAGAUAAAGCUGGGAAACGCAAAGAAGCUCCAAGUGAAGAAGCCAAAGCAGAAAAAUCAGGGAAGAUGGGGUGAAGACCAGCAGUGCUUGAGAGAAGAAAAUAAAUUCUCCAUUUCAAAAGAAAAUCCAGGGCGGGACAAUCUUAUUGUGGGUCUUUGUUUCCGCUUGAGCGGAGUUAGGAAUCCACAGGACUGCGGAGCGGGUUGGUAACGCGAGCCGCCUCUGACAGGUACAGAAAUCUGGCUCUUGCACAUUCGUGUCGGGGCCCACGUGUAACAAGGGGGUCUGGCAUCUCCCUCAUGUGCCAGGGGCCCUUCCUGUUUGUUUGUUUUUGUUUUAGAUAAAUGAUCUUGUCAGAUUGUUACUGUGGUAACAAUCAGUGUGACCACAUCUUUUUCAAAGAUUAGAACCGAAGAAAGAUUGAAAAGCAUUAAGCCUGCAGUCCUCACUCACCUUUCUCUGCCUCUGCUCUCUUCUCUGCUGCUUUCUUGUGUCCGAUAAUCAUGUAAAUAGCUUUCUGUGUCCAGCAGAACAAAGAAAAAAGCCUGAUGGAAAAAUGGUUAGGUUUUGCUUUUGAGAAAUGUACAUCCAUGGCUUGAUGGCAGGCUGUGUGCAUCCAUUCACAGCGAGUAGAAUCUAAGGUAGGAUGAGUCAGUUUGAGCUAAUUGUGUCGUUUUAAAUAAGAUUUCCAUAGAUGAACUAAGCACCUGGCCUUGGAACGCAGAAGCCGUUUAAUGUGGUGUUUGCUCUGUGUCGUGUCAGAUUGUGUUUGCUGAUUUCCAGUACCUGCCCUCUGCUGAGGAGCUGGGCUGUCCCCGGUUGUGUCUGCCACGUGCCGCUCCGGCGCUCUCCUGCCAUCCUGGCCGUGAGCUGGGAAUGUAAUCAUGACUAGGCAGGCGGUGCUCAGGCCACGUCUCCCAGGUUGCUGAAUCUGUUCAAAUGAAGGCAGAAAUGGAGACUUUUAUGGUGAAAUAUGCCAAGCGUUCAGUGUUGCUGCAACUUCACAAAAUUGCGUGGCUGUUUCCUG
rnacentral:lncRNA from 1 species